rnacentral:rRNA from 1 species
AGGGCACCACCAGGAGUGGAGCCUGCGGCUUAAUUUGACUCAACACGGGGAAACUCACCCGGCCCGGACACCGUAAGGAUUGACAGAUUGAUAGCUUUUUCAUGAUUCGGUGGAUGGUGGUGCAUGGCCGUUCUUAGUUCGUGGAGCGAUUUGUCUGGUUUAUUCCGAUAACGAGCGAGACCCUAGCCUACUAAAUAGUUCGCACAUUGUCUCUGUGUGUGUGACUUCUUAGAGGGAUUUUCGGUGUUCAGCCGCACGAAAUUGAGCAAUAACAGGUCUGUGAUGCCCUUAGAUGUCCGGGGCUGCACGCGCGCUACACUGGCAAAAUCAGCGUGCUUGUCCUUCCCCGAAAGGGGUUGGUAAACCCUUGAAAAUUUGCCGUGAUUGGGAUUGGAAAUUGCAAUUAUUUUCCAUGAACGAGGAAUUCCAAGUAAGUGCGAGUCAUCAGCUCGCGUUGAUUACGUCCCUGCCCUUUGUACACACCGCCCGUCGCUGCCCGGGACUGAGCCAUUUCGAGAA